rnacentral:rRNA from 1 species
GUGCCAGCCGCCGCGGUAAUACGGAGGGUGCAAGCGUUAUCCGGAUUUACUGGGUUUAAAGGGUGCGUAGGUGGGUUUGUAAGUCAGCGGUGAAAUCUCCAGGCUUAACCUGGAAAUUGCCAUUGAUACUAUAGAUCUUGAAUUAUCUGGAGGUAAGCGGAAUAUGUCAUGUAGCGGUGAAAUGCUUAGAUAUGACAUAGAACACCAAUUGCGAAGGCAGCUUACUACGGGUACAUUGACACUGAGGCACGAAAGCGUGGGGAUCAAACAGGAUUAGAAACCCGCGUAGUCC